UACGAAGGGGGCGAGCGUUAUUCGGAAUCACUGGGCGUAAAGCGUGCGUAGGCUGUUUCACAAGUUGGGAGUGAAAGCCCAGGGCUCAACCCUGGAAUUGCUCUCAAAACUGUGAAACUAGAAUCCGGGAGAGGAUAGCGGAAUUCCCAGUGUAGUAGUGAAAUACGUAGAUAUUGGGAGGAACACCAGUGGCGUAAGCGGCUAUCUGGACCGGCAUUGACGCUGAGGCACGAAAGCGUGGGGAUCAAACAGG
rnacentral:rRNA from 1 species